rnacentral:lncRNA from 8 species
CCAAUAAUAUCUCAUUUCUCCUGAAGUGUUCACUAUCUCCCACAAGCAUUAGAUAAGUGGAGGCAUGGGCUAGUGUCAUUUCCACCAUAUUUCUUUCAAAUCAGUGCAGGGAACAAGUGCAUACUUUAGGAGGAAGGAGAGAUAAGUAGAUCAUAUUAUUGUAAUAUACAGUAGCCCUUGUCAACGACCGCAGGAAGUGACAUCAGAUUGGAGGAGCCGUAGAAACCACAAGGCCCAAGUGAUGGUGUUUCGCACACAUCUUCAUCUCUACUCCAACUUAACACAAUUAUCUUCAGGUUCAAUAGAAGAAAUCUCAGAAUCCCCAUAGAAAUGUCUCUAGGCUCUGUUGUCAUUCUUUACUCACUUUAUUUAAGUAAGUCUGUCCAUCACUUACAGUAUUUCUUUUCUACAAUUCAACCUGGUCAAGGAGCAACUAUAAAUGACUAGAGGGAAAUAGUUUCUGUCUCAAUUUAAGUCUAUGAUUGAUGCAAAUACUGUGGACACGUAAUUGCUUUUAAGUUCUGCUAAUGUAUUUUUGUCUCAGUGUGUUGAUGUUGUCAUUUUGUCUUUGCAGUGUCAGUGGCAGGGCAGAAAUUGGACCAGGAGAUAUCAUGGACUAGGACACAGGGACAGGCUGUCUCCUUCAGCUGCAAAGACAAUGAUCAGUGUGCAACGUAUGUCUUCUGGUACCAGAAGAAAGACGGAGAACCCUUUACCUUGAUUCUCGACAUCCGAAAGGGUAACUGCGCUGUUGAUGCAAGAGGCCGGUUCAGGACAGUGGCUGCAACAGGACCAAAUAUCAGAGACUAGGAGAGAGAGACAUAUUGUCUCUUUCAGCUGCAAAGUUACUGGUCGGUGUGCAGGUAACUUUGUCUACUAGUACUGGAAAAGAAAGGGUGAACACUUCACUUGGAUUCUAGGCAUUGAUUUUGAAAACAAUUCUGUCACCCCUGAUACCAUAUCGUCAGAGAGCAGAUUUCUCUGUUGGGUGCGAAUCUGAGUUCAGUGAGCUGAAGAUCCAGUCAGUUAAAGUGUCUUCCUACUACUGAGCCUGCUGGGACUUGGGAACGCACAGUGAAAACCUUUUCUACACAGCUUGUACAAAAACUCUAUGGUUCUCUUUCAGUAGGUCAACUUUGGUACAACAUAUUUUGAGGAGUUGCACUCUCGCAACUUCGGUAGAAGGAUCUACAAUCACGCCAGACAGUAAAAUCCGUGCCUUGCUGGAAGUCCCGCCUUCCACAGGUUAUAA